rnacentral:rRNA from 1 species
UUGGCGCCAGAUUCGUUUACCGUGAAAAAAUUAGAGUGUUCAAAGCGGGCAGAUAUUUUUCCUGCCCCCGAAUACAUUAGCAUGGGAUAAUGGAAUAGGACCCUGACCUCCUAUUUUCAGUUGGUUUUGUUUACAGCGAGGUUAUAUCAGGGUAAUGAUUAAUAGGGAUAGUUGGGGGCAUUAAUAUUUAAUUGUCAGAGGUGAAAUUCUUGGAUUUAUGAAAGAUUAACUUCUGCGAAAGCGUUUGCCAAGGAUGUUUUCAUUAAUCAAGAACGAAAGUUAGGGGAUCGAAGACGAUCAGAUACCGUCGUAGUCUUAACCAUAAACGAUGCCGACCAGCGAUUAGGAGACGUUGAAUACAAAACACCGCCGUUAAUCCUUUCGGGGGUUAAUGGUUGGUGAAUGACUCCCUAGCGACUUUGGUAAAAA